rnacentral:lncRNA from 1 species
AAAUACGUGAAUGGAAUAAAAUUUGCAAAAUAUUUGAAUGGAAAGCUUGGUUCUUAACCAAAUAACUCAGAUGUACAUAUUUUAAUGAAAAUCUGAGGUAACGAAAGAAGUUAAAAGUUAUUUAAAUCAAAUUAGCUUCCUAGAGUAAGCCACUUUCACAGAAAAUACUAACAUGAACUUUCAAAGCAGAUCUGACACCUUCAAAAAUAGGAAUGGAAUAUUCUAAUUUUUGUUGUUCUAAGCCAAAUAUGCUUGCUAUUUUAAGCAAUUGCAGUUUUGCGCCAGACAUGACCAGACUGUCCCCUGAACUUGGGUAGCUCACCAGAAAUAUCCCAAACGCGGACAGUCUGGUCCAGGCUAGCUGAUACCACCAGGUCUUCAGAGGGGUGGAACUGAGCACACAUUACAUAAUGGUUGUGCCCCGUUAACACACUGCAAAGAAAAAAAAACAUAUUAAAUUAAAGGCAGAAAUCAAUAGCCCCCCUAAGUUAAAUAAAUACCUUUCUUCAUAGUCAAUAAAUGCUUAUCUAAUUGUAUUUUUUGUAGAGGCAAGGUAAGUCAUCUAACAACUUUGAACUAGUAAUAAGCAAUGCCACCUGUGCUAACAGCUUCUUUUAAAAACACGUAUUUCUUUUUUGUCCAGGCUGUGCUGGUGCAUGCCUUUAAUCUCAGAACCCAGGAAGCAGAAGCAGGAGGAUCUCUGAGUUCAAGGGUUGAGAGAAAGAGAGGUACUCAGAAGAAAGGAAGACACUCCCAAGAACUUUUCAAAAAGAAGUCACAGAAUGUAAGACACACCCACAUGUGGGCAUGGGCUCCUCAAGGGAAAGUCGCCUCUGUCUUUUAAGAUGAUCAUUUGCCCAUUAUUCAAACUGUUCCCUGUACAGCUAGGACUAGAACUUUAGCUCCCUCUUUGACAAAUCCCAAAUAUCUUUCUUCAGUGAGUCUC